rnacentral:rRNA from 1 species
GACGAACGCUGGCGGCGUGCCUAAUACAUGCAAGUCGAACGCAGUGGGGACGGGUGAGUAACACGUGGGUAACCUCCCAUCAGAGGGGAUAACACUUGGAAACAGGUGCUAAACCGAUACUGAUGGAUGAACCCGCGGUGCAUUAGCUAGUUGGUGUGGUAACGGCUCACCAAGGCCACGAUGCAUAGCAGGGCUGGCAGGGUGAGCGGCAACACUGGGAAUUAGACACGGCCCAGAAGCCUACGGGAGGAAGCAGUAGAGAAGCUUGGGCAAUGGACGAAAGUGUGAACGAGCGACGCCGAGUGAGUGAAGAGGGUUUGCAGAUCGUAAAACUCUGUUGUUAGAGAAGCGGUACGUGACCAGAAAGCGACGGCUAACUACGUGCCAGAAGACGCGGUAAUAC